GCUCCGGUGGCUUAGUCGUUAGAACGUCCACUUCGUAUGCGGGAGGUUGCGCGUUCAAACCCCGACCGAGUCA